rnacentral:rRNA from 1 species
CGGGACGGGUGAGUAACGCGUGGAAAACCUGCCGUAUACUGGGGGAUAACACUUAGAAAUAGGUGCUAAUACCGCAUAAGCGCACAGCUUCGCAUGAAGCGGUGUGAAAAACUCUGGUGGUAUACGAUGGUUCCGCGUCUGAUUAGCCAGUUGGUGGGGUAAUGGCCUACCAAGGCAACGAUCAGUAGCCGGCCUGAGAGGGUGAACGGCCACAUUGGGACUGAGACACGGCCCAAACUCCUACGGAAGGCAGCAG